rnacentral:rRNA from 1 species
GAAUUUUGGACAAUGGGGGCAACCCUGCUCCAGCCAUCCCGCGUGUGCGAUGAAGGCCUUCUGGUUGUAAAGCACUUUUGGCAGGGAGGGAAAGGCUCUGGCUAAUACCUGGAGCUGCUGACGGUACCUGCAGAAGAAGCACCGGCCGACUACGUGCCAGCAGGCGCGGUAAUACGGAGGGGGCCAGCGGUAAUCGGGAGUACUGGGCGGAAAGCGGGCGCAGGCGGUUCGGCAAGAAGGAUGUGAAAUCCCAGGGCUUAACCUUGGAACUGCAUUCUUAACUGCCGGGCUAGAGUAUGUCAGAGGGGGGUAGAAUUCCGCGUGUAGCAGUGAAAUGCGUAGAGAUGCGGAGGAAUACCGAUGGCGAAGGCAGCCCCCUGGGAUAAUACUGACGCUCAUGCACGAAAGCGUGGGGAGCGAAC